CUGAGAGUUUGAUUCUGGCUCAGAACGAACGCUGGCGGAAGGCUUAACACAUGCAAGUCGAGCGGUAACAGAUCUAGCUUGCUAGAUGCUGACGAGCGGCGGACGGGUGAGUAAUGCAUAGGAAACUGCCCAGUAGUGGGGGAUAGCCCGGGGAAACCCGGAUUAAUACCGCGUACGCCCUUCGGGGGAAAGCAGGGGAUCUUCGGACCUUGCGCUAUUGGAUGUGCCUAUGUCGGAUUAGCUAGUUGGUGGGGUAAAGGCCUACCAAGGCUACGAUCCAUAGCUGGUCUGAGAGGAUGAUCAGCCACAUCGGGACUGAGACACGGCCCGAACUCCUACGGGAGGCAGCAGUGGGGAAUAUUGGACAAUGG
rnacentral:rRNA from 1 species